rnacentral:misc_RNA from 1 species
AUUCAAACAUAUAAAAGAAGAAGAAGAAGAAUGUCUGGGUUAGUAGAUAUGUGGACAAAUGAGGUUCAAAAUCGAAACAAGACAGAUAAGAAUGAAGCCAUUGUUGAUACAAGAAAAGGAAGCAGUGAAUUGGUUCGUGAAAAGUAUGAAAAAUGUGUUUCUUUAUUAAGUAAAUUCAAUAAGUCGAUGAAUUACUCUGAAGCUUCUGUCGCUAUGAUUGUCGAUUGUGUUAGCCCAUGAAUAUUGCUUCCUUUACUCACCUUCCAACCUUGAUGUUGUGGUGUUGGGUAUGUAGGUUUGACAAGCCCUUCUG